GAGUGAAACACAAAAAAAGGAAAAAUUGUUGCUAUGAAGCUACUGCUGUUAUGGAGACAGUUGUUAUGUUGCUGAUAGAAGUUCUUACAGUCAACAGUGGAGUCAGCACUCCCUUCUGUCCCACCCUUUGUGACUGUACUUCAUUUCUCCCACGGGGCCACUGCCUCCCUAACUCUGCCUGAGAUCUUGGUCUUUCUGCAGGGAAGGUGCUCCAUGCUCAGGUCAAGUUUGCUGCUCAGAGUACUGCUGGAGAAGAACAUCAGCUAGUACCACUGUAACUGCACAGAGGAAGA